CCCUAGCGACGGGAUCCCCCCAGGCGCAGUCACCUGUGGAGCUCGCAGUCAGGUGCGGCUGCCGCCCCGCCCACCCUCCAGCCGCACUCCUGCUGGUCUCCAUCUUCCUCUUGCCUGACGUUCCCGACGACAAGAGCCUCCCGGAGGCAAUUCAGGUUUCUUUGCAUUGGAGUUCGAAGCGCGGAUUGUGUUACCGAGAUGAGUGGGAAGGACAGCAGCAUCUGAGCGCCGGGAGGAGGCUGUGCCUGAGUCCCAAGCAGACCCCUCAGUCUGUGGCUGUACAGGAGUGGAAUAUGACCGAAUAUUCUGAUGAGCUACACCCAGUCCUGGGGUAGGCGCAGCCGGAUUUGUAUCCCAGCAGCAUUGCAAACUACUAUUUAUUGGAUCAUUGAGCCUUGGGGUUGCUUCGAAGCUCAAGAAAGCAAAGUGUCCACCCUGUUUGGACUGGUGCUUACCAAACUGUUCAUUCCUUUUCCCCAUUUUGAUACCAAAAUCUGGAACUGCCGGUGAGAUCUCCACUUAGCAGAACUGGUAUUCCCAAAUGAGGAACUAAGAGUUGAUGACAGCCACAUGAUUUCUAUUUGGCUUUUCAAAGUCUUGAAAAUGAAAACUACGUUAAGACCGC